UGUAACGACCAUACCACGUCGGUCCACCAGUUCCCGUUCGAUCACUGAAGUUAAGCGACGUCGGGCGCGGUUAGUACUUGGAUGGGUGACCGCUUGGGAACCCCGCGUGUCGUUACUU
rnacentral:rRNA from 1 species